UUAAGAACAGAUAACUUGUUGACAAGAAAAAGCGAAACACAUUCUUAUCAAAGCCUAUUUUGCGGCAGAUGUUAGGAUUUUUGAAGAACAGACUUGUGUUUAUGGCACGAUUUGGUGCUAUUUUGCCAAAACGACUUAGAGACCGGAGAGAGUAUUGAUUCAAACUCUUGUUCUGAUUUGAAUAGCUGAGAUAAUCUUUGCAGGUUCGCCGUGAUGUCAUAAACAAUCGCCUAAAUGUAGUUAUUCAACGUAUGGUCAAGCUUUACUAAUGGCAACAAGAAACAACACAUAUAGAUGGUUCAUAGCCGUUUAACUCAAAAACAACGAAUUGCCAAGUCAAUAUGAUUAAUCUUUAGUCAACAAUGAGGACGCAUCAUACAGAAAACCAGAAUUAUCAUAUAUUGGCUCCGUGGGAUAGCAAAGAACUGUUUCCGAAACGAUCUAUGGUUAGGACAUACCAGAAGCAGGAGUUUAUAGUGCGAAAUCAAGAUCUGACUGCAAGAGAAGUCAGGCCAGUGCUCCCACCAUUGCGUCAGGGUGAAAGGUUGAGCAUGGAGCAGAGACGCCUGUUGAAAGAGCGGGUUGGUCAGUUGCUCUAUGUCGCAAGGCCGGACGUGAUCAACAAGUUACGAAAGAGUAUGCGUGCCUCUGACCAGUUGAAACAUGGUACCAUUAUUAGUUCAAAUUUGGACCGAAUACUUAGAGAUCACAACGUGAAUAUUGACGAAGGGACACUCAAAAGUCUCCUGGCCCAAUGUGACGAAGGUGGAACUGGAAAAAUUAGAUACGACCAUCUGCUAGAAUUCUUCACUGAUGCUUUGGAUGAAUAUAAGGUGCAGCGAGACAAGAGUGAAUUUCACAAUCUGCCAAGACAUCCCCAACGCAGCAGAGUGCGCCAUCCGUCCAUGAACAGCACUGAUUUUAGCCUGGCACCUUUGCACAAACGUGGGCUUAUGGAAGAUGAGUACACAGAGAUACCAGGUGCGUAUUCCAGAGUGAAACUCAAUAACGCCUUCAACGAGAAGAGAGAUGCUGGUAUAAAGCUUGAGAUAGAAAGAUGCUGUCAGGAGUACCAAGGAGACAUAUUUUUUGUCUUCUACAACUUGAAGAAGAAGUUACUCGGGCAAAGUGAAGAUUUGAUUGAUUCUUACAAGCUUAAAGGCAUCGUCUCGUCAUCAGCUUCCAAUCAACAACGCACUUAUUGACAGAAUGAUCGAAAGGCUAGACCCUUUUGGAUCUGGUAAUGUAAGCUGCAAAAGCUUCAUAGAUUUCUUGGAAAAGUCUCUACCUUUGCCCAAUGGUUAUUCCGGAUCUCUAAGCCAAGUGAAAGUGAGCGAACCAAAGCAAAGAGUCCCUGAAAGACCCAAAUGGGAAGUAAGCCAGCCGCUUAAAGCAAUUCCUACAAAAAACGGCAAUGCAGGGAUGCAAAAUGGUGAAAUCCAUCAAAAUGGAGAUGUUAAUGGUCAGUCUAAAGAAUUCGAGAGAUUCAUGAAGCUUGUUACAGCUCUACGACGUCGAGCCAAGGCUUCUGAUCAACUAGCCACAGAAGCUGCGAAAGAGACGAUAAUGAAGUACAAUGCUUUGUUUUCACUUGGCUUUUCAGAAUCUGAAGUGAACUCGGUAUUGCAGCGUUAUGAAAGAAAUGGCUUCGUCGAAGUAGAUGGUAUCAUUGAUGAGCUGGGCUCUUUAGGAUAAUGAAACACAGUCAUCAGUCAUUGUCUUAUAGUUAUCCUUACUUGUACAUAUCCACUAUUAGAACAUACUCAUUUGUAAAGCUGUGUAACGAAAGAAGCUUACGCAGUAGACCAAGACUUAAGGUUAAUUUUACAGCAAAUACAACGUUCUAUCCUAUUUGCUUAUUCGGGUUUUCAAAGUACUUAGGUACAAGGACUGAGAUACAGCUUUUCCUAUAGGCGUGGGGGGAUUGUCACAGCCCUCGUAAAGGAGUGCAACAAUGGCCGUUUUAAAUAAUCCAAUGGUACUCAUGGUGCAAAAACUUUUAUUUUUCGGGGGGUAGGGGGGGGGGGUUCUUUGAGGAAAGGAUGAUUUCAAAGAUGGAUCAAAAUAUUGGGUUGAGCGGAAAAAAUAUAGAGUACAUGUUUUUGAAAGCGUUUCGGAAUAUUAGAGAAUUCAUAAUCAUAUGUUCUUUGAAGCCUGCUGGAUGGAGAAAGAAAAGGGGACAGUGACAAAGGUCCUGAAAUCCCAAUGAGUUCCUUCUUCAAAUGUUACCACAUGGCCCAACUGAAUGCCUGCCCCCUUUUAGUGAAUGUUGCUCCUUGAAUAUUGUUUCCUCAAAAUUAAGCAAUCAAAAAGGGCAUUCUAUUGAUCAAUUAAAUCCCGAAACUUCAAAUCUAAAGUUCUAUAGCUGAUUUGUUCCUAGCUCUGCGUACUAAUAUACUAAAUCCACCACUGGCCAGAUUUAAAAAAGUUAAAGGGCUUCAUCAGAUAAGUGUUAGAAAUUAGAUUGAACCUUGAUUAGGAAAUACGCAUGAUAGAGGUUUGGCAUAGCUAAAAGCUGCAUAAUUGAAUGACGACGCAGUCAAAGCAUUUACCUGAACUGAGUCUGUUACCAAUAAAGACUUUUUCAUAAAGAUUGCUUUUCAUAGAGAUUCAUGUCCUGAACGUUUUUACUGCUCUAGAAGACAUGAGCUAGAAAAUGCACCCAAAUCUUCGGCCCACCUGACACAAGGUGACGUAGUGAAUAUAUUGUAAAUAUGAAUGUAUUUAGUUGAUUAACUAAUCAAAAGUAAAUUGCUUGUUAUCGUUUUAAUUUAAGCGCUUAUUUGUAAUUACUUUAUAUAGUACGACUGAACUGUUAACCUUAAAUAUGCUUUGAAGAUUUGCUUUAA